GGGAACACUGGCCCAGGCCCUCCUCUAGGAGAGAGAGAGAAUAUGAGCAAUGCAAAUACCAACUUGUGUCAUCUAUGAACACAGAUUGUUACACCUUACUGCAUCAUCAUCAGUGUGCUAGAUAGAGGGCCUAGAUUGUAUAUGGAUUUACGCAUCCUUCCUCAUCACUAUAGGUCCGUCCUGAAUACUAAAAACCACAAGGGGAGGAGAAGUCAUAUGGGCCCUUCUCUUCCAAUCACUGCCCUCCCUCUCAGCCAACUGGACAGUAAUCAAGUGGAAAGGAUCUGCAUGAUUGGUCCUAUCGAGGUUAUUCUACUAUCCAGGUGCUAACCAUAAGAAGAUGGGUCCUUGCCACAGGAAACCCUUUUCAUCAUCCUUGGGGUCUCUGCUGAGGUCUUGCAGUUCUCUGCACUGAGUACAAUUGGAUCCUUUAAUUGUGAGGAAAAGAAGCAGCAGAAUGACCUGACAUCGGAGGAGGCCAGCUCAGAACAGUGACUCAUGCAGAAACACAGUGAGUGGGCCCCUCUUCCAAGGAUCAGGAGGUGAAGCUCUUCACACUUUUUUUAUUUAUUUUAUUUAUUUUUGCAUUUAUAUACCGCCUUUCAUUAAAAAGAUAACCCCAAGGCGGUUUACAAAAGUUAAAAACAUACAAUAAAAACACAAUAAAAACAUCAUGUUAAAAGUACAAAAACAUAUAAAAACAGGCAUAAAAACAACACAACAAAUACAACAAAUAGAAACACAGAGAAGCCGCAGUAGAAAACAAUCAUGUAAAAGCCUGGGUAAAAAGCCAAGUCUUUAAAAGCUUUCUAAAAGCCGUGAUGGAGUCCGAGGAACGAAUGGCCACUGGGAGAGCAUUCCAGAGUCUGGGGGCAGCAACAGAGAAGGCCCUGUCCCGAGUGCACGACAACCGGGCCUCCCUCAUUGUCGGCACCCGGAGCAGGGCCCCCUCAGAUGUCCUCGUCCAGCGGGCAGCAACCCUUGGGAGCAGGCGGUCCCUCAAAUACCCUUGCACUCAAAAAGCUAAUCUUGUUGGGCAGAAGCACGCUCCCAUUUUAAUUCAGA